GGAACUCCAGAGCCGAUCUAAUGUCCUCCUGCUUGGAGAUUCUCUUGGGGAUCUCAACAUGGCUGAUGGAGUCAUGGACUUACAAAAAAUCCUGAAGAUCGGAUAUCUCAAUGAUAAGGUGGAUGAGAGGAGACAGUCAUACUUAAACUCCUAUGAUAUUAUUCUGGAGAAAGAUGAAACCAUGGAUGUUCC